rnacentral:rRNA from 1 species
GACGAACGCUGGCGGCGUGCCUAAUACAUGCAAGUAGAACGCACAGUUUAUACCGUAGCUUGCUACACCAUAAACUGUGAGUUGCGAACGGGUGAGUAACGCGUAGGUAACCUGCCUGGUAGCGGGGGAUAACUAUUGGAAACGAUAGCUAAUACCGCAUAAUAUUAAUUAUUGCAUGAUAAUUGAUUGAAAGAUGCAAUUGCAUCACUACCAGAUGGACCUGCGUUGUAUUAGCUAGUAGGUGAGGUAACGGCUCACCUAGGCGACGAUACAUAGCCGACCUGGGAGGGUGAUCGGCCACACUGGGACUGAGACACGGCCCAGACUCCUACGGGAGGCAGCAGUAGGGAAUCUUCGGCAAUGGACGAAAGUCUGACCGAGCAACGCCGCGGGAGUGAAGAAGGGUUUCGGAUCGGAAAGCUCUGUUGUAAGAGAAGAACGGGUGUGAGAGUGGAAAGUUCACACUGUGACGGUAUCUUACCAGAAAGGGACGGCUAACUACGUG